UGUGAUCAUUUGAGACCCUAAGAACUAUAUUACGCUCAGAUCAUGCUAGAGAUUGAUGCAGGUAUCUUGGUGGCGCCUUUGAUGUGUUGCCUCAUGUGCCUGAGACAAUCACGACAAUCAAAAUGUUCCAAAAUGUCCUCUAAACAUUAUUGGAAAGACAAUGGACUUCCAAGUCAAUGACAGGGAAAAAAGAAGAGGAGAGAGGUUUUUUCUCUCAAUUCUCUCUCCCCUAUUUCCCCUCUUCACUCGACUAAACCCUAAUUUUUUAAGCUUCGGUGGCCGGCGGAGCCCUUGUCCGUCGGUCGCCAUCCCUCCUGUUUCGCCACUCUGCCUCCAAUCCUGUCUCUCGGUUCUCCUACCGUCGUCUCCUUGCUCAGCCCUCUAGAUUUUCUUCGGAUUGCGGCCGGAUCCGGCGGAUCUAAUCAGUCGCCGAAAGUGUUUUUGGCUUCCCCGGAGGUUUGGCGAGUCAGCGGUUGGUUGUCUGUCUUCAGGAAGCUCCGUUUUUGUUGUAGAUCUGGGUUUUGGUUGUGGUUGAAUCUGGGUCAGGUUCAACCCGAAGAUAUCGCCGGAUUUGAAGCGCGUCGCUGCCGUUUCGCAUCUGGCCUUGUGGUGUCUCUACCUCCCCUCCUCUCUUCGGUUCGGUUGCUACGCUAGGACUUC
rnacentral:lncRNA from 1 species